UGAAAAAAAAGAGGAAGUAAGUUUCUGCAGCCUGCAGAUUUAUAAGAAUAGUUGAGAUUAUUUCUUAUUUCAAAGCAUGACAGUUUUAAAGAAUGAAAGUCUAAACAUUUUGAAUAAGAUUCAAAGUAAAGGGGGACAAUGACAGACUUAAACUUAUUAAAAGUAACUUUAUGAAUAGACAAAUAGGUGGAGAUGGAUGCGAGUGAUUGGCACACACAGCCCCUUCUCAUCAGUACUUUCAAAUAACACAAACACACACCUGAAACCCGAGGCGUGCAAUACGUUUCUCCUGUUAGUGCAUUUUUAAAUGGAAAUAUGUGUGGCCAUGUCUGAACUUGUCUCCUGCAUUGACAGGUUGUUAUUCAGGACCUAUGUGUUUAUUUCCUUUCUUAAGUCAGAAUGCAAGUUAUAGCAGGUACGAAAUGUUAAACAGUGAAAGUCAUGCUGUCACAUCUCAAACUCUAAAGGUUGUCGUUAUGCGAUGACUCCGGUUACUGCUCUCUGAUCAUCUCAGGACUAAUCAGACUUAAUUAACACAGGUUCUUGGCCCUGCUCUAUAAUCAGACUCAAACUCAUGGAAAAUCUGAGAGAAUUAAUUAGUUUUAACAACGAGUGUUUACCAGCUUAAACUGAGGAGUAUUAACAGAUACUACAAGUAUUACAAGUACGUACUCUGACUGAUAAACUGCAAUCUAAGCAGAAGACAAGAAAAUAGUUUAGCAGUAAAACAAAACUGAACUAGCCUGGCCCAUCGCCUUCUUGUGCUGUUCAGCUGGAUUAAAACCUCACUUCACAGAGAGUCUUUAAUUUCUCCCAUUUACUUUGAUUCCCCUGGUAGAAUUUCAAUCAGGCCAACAGAAGGAGAUGUUGUGAAGAAUAACACUGAUUUUCUGCACCAUUUUAGAUUGUAGCCUGUUGGUAGUUUUAGCAAAGGCAGCAGAGGAAGUGAGCAAAGCCGUUGAGUCCAUGUUGGCCACACUUCCAGAUAUUGAAGUAACAUUAACAGCCGCCUCAUUCAGCUCAGUACUUCUCUCUCCUCAGUGGAGGAUGGCUGUUCACAGCGCACGCUGUUUCAGGCAUCCGCUGUUGAUUCAAGGAUGUCAAUGACUGUAGAAGAUGGACUGGUGACCCGUGGACAGCGUCUCAUAUGAAGGAAGCCAAGGCAACUCUUCAUCCCUCCUCCUCUCAUCGCAACAUGAUUUCUGCUUGUUCUGUUAUAUGGAGCUUUGCAGGGUUGAACUGCUGUUUCUUUUCAUAUUCAGUUUCUGUCAUUUUACAUUUGUUUUACAAUAAAUCAUUGCAUACAAUAUAAAAGAUUGUCUCUUGUGGCUGCUUGAGGUCUGAUGAGGUUGGAUCUUUCAUGUUGCAAUCUGGUUGCCCACAGACAGGUUGUAACAAUGUGCUAUGAAGAAAAUACAGCAUGUUUUUUUCUAUGUUAAAAAUACUGACAUUUUUAAACUGAAUAACUUUAAAAGAUACCCGAUUAGCAGCAGGUAGUGAUUUUUAUUAAAAUAUCAAAAUAGUGUAUAUUUGCAGUAUUAAUUUAAGAGAUGUUUUGUAUUCUCCUUAUUGACAUGUUUAGUAGCAUGUCUUCCUGUUUUUCAGUUAGCUCUAAUCCAUAAACAUUAAAGAAACGCUACAGGUCUGUAGCAUUUCAUAGUCCUGAUGUCUUAACCUCAAGUUUAUUCAACGAUUUAUUUUAUAGGGCAUUGACCAAGAAGUGAGAAAAAUCACGUUUGGUUUUAUCAUGAGUUAGUGGUUCAUUGAAAUAUAAGGUGUUUUCAUGUCUCUUGAUUAGAAAAGACAAUUUGUCUACAUACAACCAGAAAAACUUUAUCUAAACACCUUUAGUUCUCUCCUCUAAUCCUACAAGCAUAACUUUAAAUUGGGUCUUCAUUCGCAAAUCAACAUCUGAAGGAGCUGUGAUGUUUUUACCUGGGAACUUGUCUUGAAACCUAAGAAGUGAUCUCAAUUGAAAGUGAAGAUGUGCGGGACAUUUGUCCCAUAACCGUUGGUGUUUAUGUGACAGAACUUGUCCUCUGCAUUGACGAGGUGUGGUUCAAGACCUACACGUUCAUUUACUUUACUUUCUUCUCCUCAGUGUGCAAGUUGUAGCAGGUAGGAGUGUUUAAAGUGUGGGAUCCGAGGGAAAGCAUGUUCUAUGCAGAGUAUAGAAAAGCUACGGCCGAUAGACAUGUGGU